rnacentral:tRNA from 1 species
GGAGGGAUGGCAGAGUGGUCAAAUGCGUCCGGUUGGAAGCCGGAAGUCGCACCAGCGGCGCGGGGGUUCGAGUCCCUCUCCCUCCGCCA